rnacentral:lncRNA from 1 species
CUCCUCUCUGAGCGGAUGUUUCCUCUAUCACGGAAUUUAUCUUAGCGCUUCCGGCCUCGCAUUUUAAGAGACCGCUUCUCCGCUGCUCCCUGCUCUGCGCCUCUGCCCUUGUUGGAUCUGGCUCGCUCCUUCCCCGGAGGCCCAGUGAAAUUUUAUGAAACGGUCGAGAUUCCAGGGGCUGACAAAACCCUUGCUUGUCCUUUGAGAUGACUCCCUGAGGCCGGGCUUGCUGUGAAGCCCCAGCGGGGAGCUGCGGGAGCCCUGGCACCUCUCGAGGUCUCACUGCUGGGGAUCCCCGUGUCUGCAGCCAGACUACUCUGCCGCCACCGGCCACAGCCGCAGCGAGCGUCCUCCUUUCCCUAGUCUGGGUGCCUCACGCCGGCCUGCUCGGGGUGAACUGUCGGUCGGAGCUGCGGCUCUCGCAGGCAGUGUACGCCUGCUCUUUGGGGUCAGCGAUCACUAGGCUUGAGCUGCAUCCGGGGGAGUAGAUGUAAGUAAAUGCUUGUAGACUCCUGGCAAAUCCUAGUUAGAAAUCCCUACAACACCCACUUUUCUAUCUGCCUGCCAAACUCUUUUGCUUUGGGGCCUUACUAGCCUAAGUCUCCUUCCCAGCCCUCUAAUCCCUUGCUGUGUGUCUUUGGCUGAGUUUAUUAACCUCUCUGGGGCUCAGUUUUUUCAACUUUGAAAAGAGGGUAAAGAUCCCCUGCUCCUAAGACGUUGGCUCUCUCUCCCCUAUAACGGCUGCAUUCCUGAAAGAAAGCCGACCUGCGCUAAGAGCUGAGAGACAGUGGGAAGAGUGCAGCACUUGGGGUCUGACAGCCCCAAUGUGGACUUCUCAGCCUGCGGUUUGCGACCUUCCUCGGGGCGGACUCCUCUAACCCCGCCCCUUCCGAUGCUACGGGGUCGCCGGGGAACAAGGGAUUGUGGGAAAGAAACAGCCUAGGAACCCGGAAGGGGCUGUGUCCCUGGGAGAGGCUGUGGUCCGUGCUGCCCUCCCAGGGCCGUGGGACGGACGCCCCGCAGCCUCCGAGUCUGCUCCUCACAGCUCCCCCGCAGCUCCAUCUCGCUGACCCCAGCACCGUCGGGUUUUCCCGAGCCCAGAUGGAUCCAGCAGCUCAGGUCUUGGAAGAUGAACAGGGACAGCCCUGGCUUAUCUGA